GACGAACGCUGGCGGCGUGCUUAACACAUGCAAGUCGAACGGAAAGGCCCCGUUGGGGGUACUCGAGUGGCGAACGGGUGAGUAACACGUGAGUAACCUGCCCUUGACUUCGGGAUAACUUCAGGAAACUGGGGCUAAUACCGGAUAGGAAUCCUUGCUGCAUGGUGGGGGUUGGAAAGAUUCGGCGGUUUUGGAUGGACUCGCGGCUUAUCAGCUUGUUGGUGGGGUAGUGGCUUACCAAGGCUUUGACGGGUAGCCGGCCUGAGAGGGCGACCGGCCAUACUGGGUCUGAGGGACGGCCCAGACUCCUACGGGUGGCAGCAGUGCGGAAUAUUGCACCAUGGGCGGAGGCCGGAUGCAGCAAGGCCGCGUGCUGGAUGACGGCCUUCGGGUUGUAAACCGCUUUCAGCAGGGGCGAAGCUUGUGGUGACGGUACCUGCAGAAGAAGCACCGGCUAACUACGUG
rnacentral:rRNA from 1 species